rnacentral:rRNA from 1 species
UACGUAGGGGGCUAGCGUUGUCCGGAAUCAUUGGGCGUAAAGCGCGUGUAGGCGGUCCGGUAAGUCCGCUGUGAAAGUCGGGGGCUCAACCCUCGGAUGCCGGUGGAUACUGUCGGGCUCGAGUACGGAAGAGGCGAGUGGAAUUCCUGGUGUAGCGGUGAAAUGCGCAGAUAUCAGGAGGAACACCAAUUGCGAAGGCAGCUCGCUGGGACGUAACUGACGCUGAGACGCGAAAGCGUGGGGAGCAAACAGG